rnacentral:rRNA from 1 species
GACGAACCGUGCGAACGUUGUUCGGAAUCACUGGGCUUAAAGCGUGCGCAGGCGGUUUUGUAAGCCAGAUGUGAAAUCCCCGGGCUCAACCUGGGAAUGGCAUUUGGGACUGCAAGGCUGGAGUGCGGCAGAGGAGACUGGAAUUCCUGGUGUAGCAGUGAAAUGCGUAGAUAUCAGGAGGAAUACCGAUGGCGAAGGCAGGUCUCUGGGCUGACACUGACGCUCAUGCACGAAAGCGUGGGGAGCAAACAGG